rnacentral:misc_RNA from 1 species
GAUGAAGAACGUAGCGAAAUGCGAUAAGUAAUGUGAAUUGCAGAAUUCAGUGAAUCAUCGAAUCUUUGAACGCACAUUGCGCCCGCCAGCACUCUAGCGGGCAUGCCUGUUCGAGCGUCAUUUCAACCAUCAAGCCCCCAGGGGCUUGUGCUGGGGCCCUGCGGCUGCCCGCAGGCCCUGAAAACCAGUGGCGGGCUCGCUAGUCACACCGAGCGCAGUAGCACAUCUCGCUCAGGGCGUGCGGCGGGCUCCUGCCGUGAAACCCCCCACUGUAACCCCAAAGGUUGACCUCGGAUCAGGUAGGAAUACCCGCUGAACUUAAGCAUAUCAAUAAGCGGAGGA